rnacentral:rRNA from 1 species
AUACGGAGGGGGCAAGCGUUGUUCGGAUUUACUGGGCGUAAAGGGCGCGUAGGCGGGACGUCAAGUCAGGGGUGAAAGGCCUGGGCUCAACCUGGGAACUGCCUUUGAAACUGACAUUCUUGAGUCCGGGAGAGGAUGGCGGAAUUCCCAGUGUAGAGGUGAAAUUCGUAGAUAUUGGGAAGAACACCAGUGGCGAAGGCGGCUACCUGGACCGGUACUGACGCUGAGGUGCGAAAGCGUGGGGAGCAAACAGGAUUAGAAACCCCGGUAGUCC